UCUGGAAAAAACACACUGUUACCCAAUAAAAAUAAAAAAAAUAGAAAAUGAGUGUACAGACCAGCACUGCUUGGCCCUUUAAGUGCUAAUAUUGGACCCAUCUCAGUGUCUGAUUUAGCUGAUAGCACAUCCCAGCUGACCUCUGACUUCCUCUUAUUACCCUGUUAAUCCUGAUUGCCCUAACCCAUCUGACCUACUCCCCGACUUCCUCUGAUGACGUCACUACUCUCCAGAUCAAAUGUUCCAGACCUCUCUCUCCACCCUCACUGGACCCGAGAUUCUCCUCCAAAAGUGCUGUUUCUGCAUGUCCAGCCUGACCACGGGGGGUUUCACUUCAGAUCCAAGAGGGCAUCUAAUAUCUCAUAAUGGAAACCCCAACGCUGGGGAGGACUCUGCAGUCCACGUGCAAGGAGGUCAUCUUUUUGUAAAUCUGAGAUGUGUAAGGAUUAGUAGGAGUCACACCCCUUUGGCAAUCUGAGAAAAGCUAUGGGCCUUUUCCCCAAGGAAACACGCAUUCCCACAGGAAUUUAGUGGGUUCCUGCAUCCCUGGAAGCCCAUCCACAGAAACUGGGUAACAUCUGCUUUAAGCACACAAGCAUCCUAUUUGUCAGAGGCUUUGUUACUAUUCCUUAAAACAUUCCAAUGAUCUGAAGGUUUCCAACCUUUAGGUGAUUUGGAGAGGGGCGGUGUUUCCUCCUUAAUGACAGAGGAGUUUGUGUUGCGAGAAGGCAGAUCGAGUGGUAAAUUAAGCUUAGGUCUUGUCUGGGAGAAUGAAGAUGAAAAGAAUAGCUCAAGUCUCGUGUUUUGCCAGAAGGAAAAGGAACACGGCGUCCUCACGCUCAAGGCUUGUUCUAAACUUAGCCAGCUCCCGUGGUUCCAAAGUUGGCAAAAUGAGCUCUGCACCAUCCUAAUAAACAUGCCGUGGUGCAGUGACUCACUGAGACAGCAGCCGCAUGUGGGACAUGGCUCCGUUCGCCAGCCAGACAAGGGACUGUGAAGGUGACUUCUAGAAGGAGAGACAGGUAAUGCUCCUCUGCUGUACCUGGUCCUGGUCAGUCUGUGCUGGAAGCCUGCUGUCAGCUCAAGGUACGGCACUCCUGGAGAAGUGGGCAGUUUGGUGGGGUUGGCUGGACUUGGGGUUCACCAUUAAAGGAGAAAACUGAAACUAAUGGGCAUGGUAUGGUCACCAUCUCCAAAGAGUCGGUGGGCUCUCCAGUUUGUCAGACUCUCUCUGCAGAGGCUGGGAUAAUCCUGAGGACACAGGCUCAGUAGGGUGGGAGGGACCUUCUGGGGUCAGGUGGGUGCUGAAGGUUCCUUGCAGUAAUCAGAAAGAGUGUCCAUCUGAGCAGCAAGUUGAAGUUGCAGCUGGGAAGGGAAAUAGCCCAGGGCAUCGUACAGCAGCAGGUCCGAGAGGCGAUGGAGUCUGGGACAGGUGGCCCAGGCCAGGAGGCUGAGCAUUGGAACGGUGCAGAACAUGGGCCCUGAACAGGGCAGGAACGUACAAGCUUGCUCCAGGUGGGGAGUGGCCUCCUGGCACCUAGGGAGGUCAGACGGCCCAAUGGGGUGGGCUCUGCUGGGCAUCAUAGCAGAAGCAUGAUGUCAUGUUAGUCAUGUUCCAUGAUGCCCUCAGGAGAAAACUAGGACUGAUGGGAGAAGCUUGAAGAAGUCAAUCCGAUGUAAGGAAGGGUUCCUCAGCCACGCCCACAGCUACUGAGCAACGAAAUGGAAGGUGGUGAACUCCCUGGCAUUAGAAGGCUUCAAGCAGAUCCUCUUGGUGGGAAGAGUAGAGAGCAGAUUCGAGCACCCUUCAGACCUCAACAGUCUUUGGCUUGGAUUCCUCCAGGAGCCUUGUGGAAGGAGAAGGGCAGAAAUUAAUUUCUCCUUUUCCAUAGUGGGAAAGUCAAGACCCAGACUGAACGCUGCACCCAAGGUCACAGAGAAAGGCAGCAGAACUGGGAACAAAACCCACAUCUGCUCCUUCCCAAGCCCCAGACUUUCCCAUCUGCUUUCCCAACUGGCGUCCCAGCCUGUGCUAUUUUGGGCUGUCUCCUCCACCAGGACAGAGGGCGCCUAUGGGACCGGCACGGCUUUGCCUGCUGGCUGCCAGACUUCCCUCACAAUCCUUUACACUGGAAUCCCAGGAAUCUGUGUGUCAAGGUACACACUUAGAAAAACAGUGACUUGGCUGAAGAAAGGCUGCCAACUUGGAAUCUCUACUAAAAGGAAGUGGGUUAUGAAAAGGGUUCCAGCCCCUGUCCUGCUGCUGCCACUGGAGGGGCUAUUGGAUGAGCUGAAAAUGCCAUGAAUCCUGAGAAUCCAGUAGAUUGGGAGACCUUGUCAGGCUAUGGCCUGUUCAUUCAUUUGCUUCUUUGGACAUUAAACCUACAUAGUUUAAGUACCUAUGGAGCUACAACAAAAGCUUUCAAACAUCUAUGAUGGGCCGGCUGAGUGGCGCGUUGGUUAAGAACUGGCUUGGGAUGCCAGAGGGCCCCGGUUCGGAUCCCACAU